UGCCGGUUACUUCGCAAUUUCACCCUGUGAACCCCGCCAGGACCGGAAGGUAGCAACGGUAGCAGAUGUGGGAUGUGCCGAAGCUUUGCUGGUAGGG
rnacentral:SRP_RNA from 1 species